CGAAAAAUAUUUUUACAAAUUGUUUUGUAAAACCCUAGUCUGAGUACACUUUUAUUUUAUAUGAUGAGUUUAUUAGGGCUCUUGAAAAUUUGUUGACUCCAAGGAUUCAAAGUAUUAGACAAAUUUGAAAAAUGAAGAUUUUUCCAUUCUUUGAUUAAGAUUAACAUCUGUUCAUAUAAUCUGGGAAUAAGAAUUGAAUUGACAGCAAUUAUAAUAUAUAAUAAACAUUUGCUUGAAACUAUACUUACUCGCAAGACUUUUUUAUACUUUCUUCUUCUUUUGCAGAAAUAGAUUUCUGUUCUGCAAAUAUUUUCAAUUUAUUUUCAAUCGCAUGUGUUUGGCAAAUUAGAGAAGCUACGGAUCUUGCUAAUUUCCUGUUAGAUAAAAUCCCAUAAGAACUAUUCCUGAAAAUGAUUUGAUAUUGAGAAAAAGUGUUUGGUUAACGAAGUCUUGUGCCAAAAACAUACCAAACAUUAGAAUCUUCAUUUUCACUAUUAAUUAAAUUACUUCUUUCUGUUAUGGCAUUCAUACUUUUCAUUCUAUUUUCCCUAAGACUUUGAUUUCGAAGUAAAAAAGUAAAAUUGAUAAAAAUAUAAUGUCUUCGUGUCAUCCGCGGCUAGAAACAAAUUAUUGAAGGAAUGAAAAAACAGAGUCCUAUGUUUUUGACACCUUCGGCCAAAUUCACACAAAUGGCCAAUUUCUAACCAUGUCUUUAAAUAUAACACAUUUUUAAAAUAUAUUAAAUUAGAAUGAGAAAAUUGAAACAGCAAAAUUAAUUUUAAACAAAAUUAGGCCUGAAUAUGAAUUUCUGGCUGGAUUUUAACAUACAAAUGACAAAUGACAUACGAAUGGAAUGAAAAUGUUACCCUGAAGUUUUUGGAAGAAUAUAAAAAAUACGAGUGCCUCUGGAACCCAAAUUCUAUCCAGUAUUUUAAUUGCUGUUCAAAAGAAGACGUAAUUCGGAAAAUUAUUGAUAAAUUAAACAUCCCGUUUUUAACACCAGCUGAGUGCCAGUGUCAAAUAGAGACAAUAACAAGAAAAUAUGAAGAAGAGCAAACAAAAAUUCUCCACGGUUUGCACUCGGGAAAACCAUACAAAUCGAAUCUUUCUUGGUAUCCUUUGAUGCAAGAAAUGUUAACAAAAUCUCUUAGCAAUGGAAUUGACGAAACACUUAGAAUAACAGUUUGUACAAAUUUAAUACCAGAUAAGAAAAAAAAGACCCAAAUAAGUAAAAAGACGAAAACGAAUCAUCUAUGUGGAAAUAAAAUUAUAAAUAAAUUAUUCAAAGAGAAAAGUAGUCCGAAUAAAGAAGGGAAUACGAAAAUGAUGAGUUAUAAUUCUAUAAAGUACGGUCCGUGUCCAGGAAUUGGGAAUAAUCAUUUGUGUGCUAGAUUGGAUGAUAGGACAGACAGUGAAGAUAGUAGAUCUAGAACCGGUCUGAACAAUUAUCCAGGGGAAUCGAUUUGUAUAAGGGAAAUUAAAAAAAGACGAGACAUUCCCAGAAAUAAUUUAUCGAAAAAAUCAACUGAAUGUUCUCCCCGUUGUCGGGGGCACUCAGAAAAUUUUCAUUACGCAGCAAGAGACAAUUAUAAUAUUUCAAACAAAACCCCUUAUUUCAGCAAGGGGAAAAACUCUGAUUUGAAUUACAAUGAGUUUAGAAAUCAAUAUCAAAGAAGAUUUUUGCCAUGUCCGAAUAGUGUGAAACCUCCGGAUCAACUUUUUUCUUCUAAUCAAAGAAAUUCGUAUAAAAACUCAAACAAUGUAGAAACCUAUUGCCCUAAGAUAACCACAUGUGGGAAUAAUUUUCACAAAACCACAGAAUUAUAUAAUCGACAAUUUCAAGAAUUUCCUCAAUCCAAUGCAAUUCUAAAUAAGCAAUCUUGUCUCAGAAAUGGAGAUCAAAUUUUUCCUACCACCGAUAACCAGGGAAUUGUUCAAUUUACUCCAAAGUUCGCCACUAAAUGCGAAAAUGGUACAUGCGAGGCUGUUUCUCAGUUAAAUAUUAACAUACAAUGUGGAGAAAAAUCUUUGGAUAAUAGAAAUAUUCAUACGAAAACGAAUCGGGAAACCCAAACAUUUUUGGAGAGAAAGCAGCAAUCAGUUUCUACAAAUUUGGUGAAUUUUGAAACAAAAGAAACUCAAGAUGAAGUUGGAAGACAGACGAAGCAAACUGGGACUGAUUUUGAAGAUUUUAAUCAAAAUGUUGAAAAUACCGUUUGUGUUUCGCGUUCACAGAGUGAUUAUAUUCUUCUGAUGCCUGGGGGAAAGUCUUUAAGACUUUCUAAGAAAUCUUCUAGAGAAAAAUUUAUGGAAUGUCCGGGUGCGAAUGAAAAUAGAUUUGUUGACGAUGAGGUAUUCUCUGUUUGUACUGAAGCAUCAUGUCAAGACUCAAAAUUAGUUGAUUCAGAUACAAUGACAACUCCUCAGUUAAUUCAAUGUGUAGAAGAAAUGCUAAAUAUCAGAAAUAAUUAUCAAGCAGAUGAAGUACAAUCAGUUAAUUUAUCGAAAACCGGAAAUAGAGAAGUGGAAGAAUGUAAGGCCUGCAAGAAUUUUGAAAUUGAUGACGAGGAUUUGAGAUUCUGUUUUAAAAAGCUUUUUAAUAAAGAUUUGUCAACUUCAGAUUGUUUUCCUUGCUUAAAAGAAAAGAUUCAUCAAGAAUCCACAGGGGAACUUACAAAAACGUUAUUGACUAUUUUGAAAUAUGCUCUAGACUUGGAUAACAAAGCAGAAAAUAAUUUGAAGGGUUGGUGGGUUAAAUCGAAACACAAGCCGGAGAUGAUUAAAAGAAUUUGUAAAUGUAUAAAAAAGUUGUCAGAGAUCGAGGCAGAAAAAGGAUUAUUUUCAAAAAAUACUCUCAUUGAAGAAAGUAGAAAAUAUUCAAAACAAGUAGAAACUGAAAAUGCAGCUUUAAUUUCUCGAAGUACGAAUACAUUUGCGGAAAAUACUCCGGUAGAAAUCAGUCACAUUACUCUCAAAAAUGUAGAAACCAAUACAGAUUUUGCUGAUCGUCAAAAAGAUGUUGGUACAAGUCCCAUUAAUACAAAUUUUCCUGAUCGUCAAAAAGAUAUUGGAACAAGUCCCAUAGAAAAUAUAAGAUCAACAGAUGCUAUGACCCAAGUUAUAGCACAUUUCUCACCAAAAAUUAUAAAUAAAGGAAAAAGUAUUGGGACUCAAAAAAGAGAUCCCAUUUUUGUAAGAGUAGUUUCAGCAAAUGAUCGUCCAAAAAUGACGACAACACAAUCGAAAUCUUCUCAGUCUUCUCAAUCUGGUGUCGAAGACAGUAAAAAAAAUAACUGUAAACGUGUUCUUUUCAAUGAGAAAAAAAAAUUUGAAUGUCCCAAGAAAUAUUUUAGAUGUAUAAAAGAUUGUAAGGAACUAAAUUGUUCGAAAAUUCGAAUUGCGGGUAGGAACAACAGUAGAGUAAAGAAGAAACUUUUGGAUAACAAAUUAACAGAUGUUCCCAAAAGUAAAAGUUUAGAAAACAAAAAGAUAUUUUUCAGUGAUUUCUGUUUGGAGAGUGAAAAUUUGCCGAUUACAUGAUGAAAAAUGUAUUCAAUAACAUGUCCAGUGUCCGCAGUUGAACAAUUUUGCAGAAGUAAAAAAUGCUUAAUCAACCGCAAGGUCAAUUUUUAUAUUCUGAACGAGAAAUCAUCAUAAUAACAUGAUCAUAAUUAUAAAUGCAAUUUUAUGCAACUAACUGGAUUUGAAUCUGAAUAAGAAACGGGUCAUUACCUUGUCUAAAUAAUUAACUCAGGUCAAGGAUGGAGAAGAAAUAGAA